UUGAACGCUGGCGGCAGGCCUAACACAUGCAAGUCGAACGGUAACAGGAAGAAGCUUGCUUCUUUGCUGACGAGUGGCGGACGGGUGAGUAAUGUCUGGGAAACUGCCUGAUGGAGGGGGAUAACUACUGGAAACGGUAGCUAAUACCGCAUAACGUCGCAAGACCAAAGAGGGGGACCUUAGGGCCUCUUGCCAUCGGAUGUGCCCAGAUGGGAUUAGCUAGUAGGUGGGGUAAAGGCUCACCUAGGCGACGAUCCCUAGCUGGUCUGAGAGGAUGACCAGCCACACUGGAACUGAGACACGGUCCAGACUCCUACGGGAGGCAGCAGUGGGGAAUAUUGCACAAUGGGCGCAAGCCUGAUGCAGCCAUGCCGCGUGUAUGAAGAAGGCCUUCGGGUUGUAAAGUACUUUCAGCGGGGAGGAAGGUGUUGUGGUUAAUAACCACAGCAAUUGACGUUACCCGCAGAAGAAGCACCGGCUAACUCCGUGCCAGCAGCCGCGGUAAUACGGAGGGUGCAAGCGUUAAUCGGAAUUACUGGGCGUAAAGCGCACGCAGGCGGUCUGUCAAGUCGGAUGUGAAAUCCCCGGGCUCAACCUGGGAACUGCAUUCGAAACUGGCAGGCUUGAGUCUCGUAGAGGGGGGUAGAAUUCCAGGUGUAGCGGUGAAAUGCGUAGAGAUCUGGAGGAAUACCGGUGGCGAAGGCGGCCCCCUGGACGAAGACUGACGCUCAGGUGCGAAAGCGUGGGGGAGCAAACAGGAUUAGAUACCCUGGUAGUCCACGCCGUAAACGAUGUCUAUUUGGAGGUUGUGCCCUUGAGGUGUGGCUUCCGGAGCUAACGCGUUAAAUAGACCGCCUGGGGAGUACGGCCGCAAGGUUAAAACUCAAAUGAAUUGACGGGGGCCCGCACAAGCGGUGGAGCAUGUGGUUUAAUUCGAUGCAACGCGAAGAACCUUACCUGGUCUUGACAUCCACAGAACUUUCCAGAGAUGGAGGGGUGCCUUCGGGAACUGUGAGACAGGUGCUGCAUGGCUGUCGUCAGCUCGUGUUGUGAAAUGUUGGGUUAAGUCCCGCAACGAGCGCAACCCUUAUCCUUUGUUGCCAGCGGUUAGGCCGGGAACUCAAAGGAGACUGCCAGUGAUAAACUGGAGGAAGGUGGGGAUGACGUCAAGUCAUCAUGGCCCUUACGACCAGGGCUACACACGUGCUACAAUGGCGCAUACAAAGAGAAGCGAACUCGCGAGAGCAAGCGGACCUCAUAAAGUGCGUCGUAGUCCGGACUGGAGUCUGCAACUCGACUCCAUGAAGUCGGAAUCGCUAGUAAUCGUGGAUCAGAAUGCCACGGUGAAUACGUUCCCGGGCCUUGUACACACCGC
rnacentral:rRNA from 1 species